ACAUGCGAGAAGCGCCGACCUCGCGGGAGGGCGUGCAUUUAUCAGACCAAAAACUGCCGCGUCUUCGGGCGCGUUCGCCUUGGUGACUCUGGAUAACUUUGCGGAUCGCACGGUCUAGCACCGGCGACGGAUCAUUCAAGUGUCUGCCCUAUCAACUUUCGUCGGUACGGUAUUUGCCUACCGAGGUUCUUACGGGUGACGGGGAAUCAGGGUUCGAUUCCGGAGAGGGAGCCUGAGAAACGGCUACCACAUCCAAGGAAGGCAGCAGGCGCGCAAAUUACCCAUUCCCGACGCGGGGAGGUAGUGACGAAAAAUAACAAUGCAGGACUCGUUCGAGGCCCUGUAAUUGGAAUGAGUACACUUUAAAAGCUUUAACGAGUAUCCAUUGGAGGGCAAGUCUGGUGCCAGCAGCCGCGGUAAUUCCAGCUCCAAAAGUAUAUAUUUAAGUUGUUGCGGUUAAAAAGCUCGUAGUUGGAUUUUGGGCGCAGGCGGCCGGUCCGUCGCAAGGCGUGUACUGGACGUCCUGGCCUUCCCUCCGGUUCUCCGCCGGUGCUCUUGACUGAGUGUCGGCGGCGGCCGGAACGUUUACUUUGAAAAAAUUAGAGUGUUCAAAGCAGGCUCUCGAGCCUGGAUAAUGGUGCAUGGAAUAAUGGAAUAGGACCUCGGUUCUAUUUUGUUGGUUUUCGGAGCGCGAGGUAAUG
rnacentral:ncRNA from 1 species